UGUGGUAGGAAAAGGUACAGGCUGGGCUGUAAACUACCCAGUGCUCAGUGGAAAAGCCCACCUUGAAGAGCUGAGCUUGCU